UCGCGGGCGGCGCCGCGUUCCCGCCCUACCGGCUGGGCUUCGGCGGCGCGGCCGCGGGGCUGGAGCGCGGCGCCUACGAGCCCUUCGACGUGGCGGGCAAGUUCGGCGGCGCGGCGCGCUUCUCGUACACCUCGCAGCACUCGGACUACGGGCAGCGCUUCCAGCAGCGCAUGCAGACGCACGUUUAGGGCGGGGAGGGCUCCGCGGGUACCUCACGAGCGUCCCCCUGAUAUUCAGGGGUUCGCCCCGAUUUCCCCCCCCGGCCUCUCCUCGGAGCUUCCGUUCGUCGCCCCGGUUCUCUCGCCGGUACGUUCCCGUCCCCGCGGGCGCGGGCAGGGGUCGGCGCCGCGCUCCUCGUGCCCCUUGCGGCCCCGGCGCCGUUCCCGGAGCUUUCCCAGGGAGCAGCUCUGUGCCAGAUCCAGAGGGGCGCGUGAACCCCAAAACCAGCCCCAACCCAAACCGUUCCCACUGGGAUCCGUGUGUUCCCAGAUCCAGAGGGGCGCGUGAGCCCCAAAACCAGCCCAACCCGAACCACUCCCACUGGGAUCCGUGUGUUCCCAGAUCCAGAGGGGCACGUGAACCCCAAAACCAGCCCAACCCAAACCAUUCCCACUGGGAUCCGUGUGUUCCCAAAUCCAGAGGGGCACGUGAACCCCAGAACCAGCCCAACCCGAACCAUUCCCGUUGGGAUCCGUGUGUUCCCAGAUCCAGAGGGGCACAUGAACCCCAAAACCAGCCCAACCCGAACCAUUCCCGUUGGGAUCCGUGUGUUCCCAGAUCCAGAGGGGAGACACAAAUCCCAAAAAAACCCAUCUUGAACCAUUCCCACUGGGAUCCGUGUGUUCCCAGAUCCAGAGGGGCACGUGAACCCCAAAACCAGCCCAACCCGAACCAUUCCCAUUGGGAUCCACGUGUUCCCAGAUCCACAGGGGAGACACAAAUCCCAAAAAAACCCAUCUCAAAUCAUUCCCAUUCCUCAAAGCAUUCCCACUGGGAUCAGCAUGCUCCCAAAUCCAGAGGGAUGUGCAAAUCCCAGAACCAGCCCCAUCCCAAACCAUUCCCAUUGGGAUCCGUGUGUUCCCAAAUCCAGAGGGAUGUGCNAUCCCAGAACCAGCCCCAUCCCAAACCAUUCCCAUUGGGAUCCGUGUGUUCCCAAAUCCAGAGGGAUGUGCAAAUCCCAGAACCAGCCCCAUCCCGAACCAUUCCCACUGGGAUCCGUGUGUUCCCAGAUCCAGAGGGGCACACCAAUUCCAAAAAAACCCAACCCGAACCAUUCCCGUUGGGAUCCGUGUGUUCCCAAAUCCAGAGGGAUGUGCAAAUCCCAGAACCAGCCCCAUCCCAAACCAUUCCCGUUGGGAUCCACGCGUUCCCAAAUCCCGAGGGAUGCUCCAAUCCCAGAUCCAGCCGCCUCCCGCACCAUUCCCAUUGGGAUCCGUGUGUUCCCAGAUCCACAGGGGAGACACAAAUCCCAAAAAAUCCCAACCCGAACCAUUCCCAUUGGGACCCGUGCAUUCCCAAAUCCCGAGGGAUGCGCCAAUCCCAGAACCAGCCGCAUCCCGAACCAUUCCCAUUGGGAUCCGUGUGUUCCCAAAUCCAGAGGGGCACACCAAUCCCCAAAAAACCCAUCCCGCACCAUUCCCAUUCCCUGUGCCUUGAUUUUGGGGCCGCCCCUGGCUCAGGGCCGGCUCCCCCCGUUUCCCCUCGGCGCCGGGAAUUUGGGGUUUUCGGGAGCCGCCCCGCACGCACAGCGAUCCCCCGGGAGAGGCAGCGCGGGAUCCCAGAGCUGGGAUCGGGGUCCCCCCUGAACCCCCGCGUUCCCGGGAAUUCCGGGAAUUCCGACCGAAACUUUGGGAUCGGGAGCUCGGCCCUGCCCCGAAUCCCAGUUCCGGGCACCGGGGGGAACCGGGGACCCCAGCGUGGCGUGGGGGAAUUUGGGGGAUGAGUUUUGGAGGGAAUUCCCAGCCCCAAUUCCCAAAUUCCCAAAGGGGUCCCAGUUUGGGAUGGGGGAAUUUUUGGGGGAUGAAUUUUUGGGGGAAUUCCCAGAGGAUUCCCAGCCCCAAUUCGGCAUGGGGGAAUCUGGGGAGGAACAAUUUUGGGGGGAUGAAUUUUGGAGGGAAUUCCCAGCCCCAAUUCCCAAAUUCCUGAAGGGGUCCCAAUUCGGGAUGGGGGAAUUUGGGGAGGAUGAGUUUUGGGGGGAUGAAUUCCUGGCUGAUUCCCAAAAACCCCUCAAGGAUUUGGUACGAGACCCCUGCCCACCCCUCCGGGGGCUGCCUCGGGAUCAGGAUCUUCCCCAAAAUCCCCCAAAUCCCCAAAUUCCCGAAUUCCCAGUGGCCAAUCCCGGUACGAGCCGUGGGAUCUCAUUUCCCUCUGCCGAAACUCCCCAAAACCAACACAGAAGGUCCCGAAAGGCCCAAAGGUGCCUGAAUUCACCCCAAAAGCCCCGAGGGGGGAGGGAAUUCCCGCUCCAGGUGCUGCACCCCAAAUUCCAGAGCAAUAUCCCGCGGGAAAAGGGGGAGCCCCGCCCGGCCACGGGAAGCUUUAACAUUCCAACCCCACUUUGGGGCUGGAAAAUGGAAUUUCCCCCUUUUGUUUUUUAGCACAGGUUGGUUUAGAGACCCUCCCCCGUCCCUUUCCCCCCAAAAUUCCGCCAUUUCUCCCCGAU
rnacentral:lncRNA from 1 species